CCUACGGGAGGCAGCAGUGGGGAAUAUUGGACAAUGGGGGCAACCUUGAUCCAGCCAUGCCGCGUGUGUGAAGAAGGCCCUCGGGUUGUAAAGCACUUUCAGUGAGGAAGAACGCCUGGUGGUUAAUACCCAUCAGGAAAGACAUCACUCACAGAAGAAGCACCGGCUAACUCCGUGCCAGCAGCCGCGGUAAUACGGAGGGUGCGAGCGUUAAUCGGAAUUACUGGGCGUAAAGCGCGCGUAGGUGGCUUGAUAAGCCGGUUGUGAAAGCCCCGGGCUCAACCUGGGAACGGCAUCCGGAACUGUCAGGCUAGAGUGCAGGAGAGGAAGGUAGAAUUCCCGGUGUAGCGGUGAAAUGCGUAGAGAUCGGGAGGAAUACCAGUGGCGAAGGCGGCCUUCUGGACUGACACUGACACUGAGGUGCGAAAGCGUGGGUAGCAAACAGGAUUAGAUACCCGGGUAGUC
rnacentral:rRNA from 1 species